rnacentral:rRNA from 1 species
CCUACGGGAGGCAGCAGUGAGGAAUAUUGGUCAAUGGACGAGAGUCUGAACCAGCCAAGUAGCGUGAAGGAUGACUGCCCUAUGGGUUGUAAGCUUCUUUUAUAAAGGAAUAAAACGAGGCACGUGUGCCUUUUCGCAUGUACUUUAUGAAUAAAGAUAGGCUAACUCCGUGCCAGCAGCGGCGGUAAUACGGAGGAUCCGAGCGUUACCCGGAUUGAUUGGGUUUAAAGGGAGCGUAGAUGGGUUGUUAAGUCAGUUGUGAAAGUUUGCGGCUCAACCGUAAAAUUGCAAUUGAUACUGGCAGUCUUGAGUACAGUUGAGGUAGGCGGAAUUCGUGGUGUAGCGGUGAAAUGCUUAGAUAUCACGAAGAACCCCGAUUGCGAAGGCAGCUUACUAAACUGUGACUGACAUUGAUGCUCGAAAGUGUGGGUAGCAAACAGGAUUAGAUACCCCAGUAGUC